AUUGAACGCUGGCGGCAUGCCUUACACAUGCAAGUCGAACGGUAACAGGUCUUCGGAUGCUGACGAGUGGCGAACGGGUGAGUAAUACAUCGGAACGUGCCUAGUAGUGGGGGAUAACUACUCGAAAGAGUGGCUAAUACCGCAUGAGAUCUACGGAUGAAAGCAGGGGAUCGCAAGACCUUGUGCUAUUAGAGCGGCCGAUGGCAGAUUAGGUAGUUGGUGGGAUAAAAGCUUACCAAGCCGACGAUCUGUAGCUGGUGUGAGAGGAGGAUCAGCCACACUGGGACUGAGAAACAGGCCAGACUCCUACAGGAGUCAGCAGUGGGGAAUUUUGGACAAUGGGCGCAAGCCUGAUCCAGCAAUGCCGCGUGCAGGAUGAAGGCCUUCGGGUUGUAAACUGCUUUUGUACGGAACGAAAAGCCCCGGGUUAAUACCCUGGGGUCAUGACGGUACCGUAAGAAUAAGCACCGGCUAACUACGUGCCAGCCGCCGCAGUAA
rnacentral:rRNA from 1 species